rnacentral:rRNA from 1 species
AAGUCCCGCAACGAGCGCAACCCUUAUCUUUAAUUGCCAGCAGUUCAGUUGGGGCACUUUAAAGAGGACUGCCGGUGUUAAACCGGAGGAAGGUGGGAUGACGUCAAGUCCUCAUGGCCUUUAUGCUUAGGGCUACACACGUGCUACAAUGGGUGGUACAAAGAGAAGCCAACUCGCGAGAGCGCGCCAAUCUCAAAAAGCCAUCCUCAGUUCGGGAUUGGAGUCUGCCAACUCGACUCCAUGAAGUUGGAAUCGCUAGUAAUUGCGGAUCAGCAUGCCGCGGUGAAUACGUUCCCGGGCCUU